rnacentral:lncRNA from 1 species
CCAAUUGAAAACUAAAUUUAAGAUGCCAACAUCACAAAUUAAAAAGCAAUCUACACAUGAAGUGUUAUGAAUAACAAUAAACUAUCUUCGCUUUCAAAAUUCAAAUGAACAUUUAUGAAAAAGUUUGCUAUUAGUCCCCAACCUAUAGCCAGAGUUUCAAGUUGGUCCCAAACUUUAUAUAUAGUCUCACAAAUCCUUAACAACACCGACUUUCUAAAACUUUGUUAAACUAGCGUAACCAACAUCAUCAAAUGGUCCAUCAGAGUUUCGUCUUGGCAAUUUUAUCCUAUAGAUAGUAACAAGGCGGGUGGAGUUAGGGUAGCUAUUUAAGUUAGGAGACUUUCGAAAGUCGCCCGUGCAAAGAUCAAAGAUCGACUUGCAAAUUGAACAAUAUGUUGGGGACCCAUGAUAGAAUAUUCUCGAACAUCUAUGAUCAAGAAAUAUUGGAAUUUAAUAUUGAUGUGGUUGUAAUAUUUACUACAGUUUUCCCAUUUCUUCUACCAUUCCUUCUUCGAUACAAUUCAAUUGAUUUCAAUUCUCUCUACCUCUCACCAUAAUUUAAUUAAGCUUUAAAGCAGUCCCAUCUCGCCCCUCUUAUAUAUAAUGGCCUUAGAAGUCUAAAACCAGCAACCUCAGCCUCUUCAACUAGAAUAUGUUAGUGGUAUUGCAGUAGCUAAAACGGGUGAUCAUCACNUAGAAGUCUAAAACCAGCAACCUCAGCCUCUUCAACUAGAAUAUGUUAGUGGUAUUGCAGUAGCUAAAACGGGUGAUCAUCACCGCCGCAUAGCCACCGCUCUCCACCACCCUCCUCCGCCUGAAGAAUUACAAGAGCCCUUCUCAUCUCAAGGUGUGUAUGAUCAGGG